AGAGUUUGAUCCUGGCUCAGAAUCAACGCUGGCGGCGUGCCUAACACAUGCAAGUCGAACGAGAAAGUGGAGCAAUCCAUGAGUAAGGUGGCGCACGGGUGAGUAACACGUGACUAACCUACCUGNAAGUGGGGGAUAACCUCGGGAAACCGGGGCUAAUACCGCAUAAUCCCGAGAGGGCAAAGGAGACCAAUUCGCUUUUAGAGGGGGUCGCGGCUGAUUAGUUAGUUGGUAAGGUUAUGGCCUACCCAAACCAUGAUCCAUUAUUCCGGCUGAAAGGGCGCACGGACACACUGGAACUGAAACACGGUCCAGACUCCUACGGGAGGCAGCAGUGGGGAAUCUUGCGCAAUGGGGGAAACCCUGACGCAGCAACGCCGCGUGGAGGAUGAAAUCCCUUGGGAUGUUAACUCCUUCGAUCGGAAGAUAUGACGUACCCC
rnacentral:rRNA from 1 species